CCUACGGGUGUCAGCAGUGGGGAAUAUUGCACAAUGGGGGAAACCCUGAUGCAGCAACGCCGCGUGAGUGAAGAAGGUUUUCGGAUUGUAAAGCUCUGUUAGCAGGGAAGAGGAAGGACGGUACCUGCAGAGGAAGACACGGCUAAGUACGUGUCAGCAGCCGCGGUCAUACGUAGGCGGCAAGAGUUGUUCGGAAUAAGUGGGCGUAACGGAUGCGGAGGCGGUUAAACAAGUUAUAUGUUAAAAAUAUAGGCUUAAUCUGAGGAAAGCAUAAAAAAUUGUGUAACUAGAGUGCAGGAGAGGUAAGUGGAAUUCCUGGUGUAGCGGUGAAAUGCGUAGAGAUUAGGAAGAACACCAGUGGCGAAGGCGACUUACUGGACUGUAACUGACGCUGAGGCAUGAGAGCAUGGGGAGCAAACAGGAUUAGAUACCCCUGUAGUC
rnacentral:rRNA from 1 species